rnacentral:rRNA from 1 species
AGAGACAGCAGCAGCCACGGGAAAACGUAGGUCCCGAGCGUUGUCCGGAUUUAUUGGGCGUAAAGCGAGCGCAGGCGGUUAGAUAAGUCUGAAGUUAAAGGCUGUGGCUUAACCAUAGUACGCUUUGGAAACUGUUUAACUUGAGUGCAAGAGGGGAGAGUGGAAUUCCAUGUGUAGCGGUGAAAUGCGUAGAUAUAUGGAGGAACACCGGUGGCGAAAGCGGCUCUCUGGCUUGUAACUGACGCUGAGGCUCGAAAGCGUGGGGAGCAAACAGGAUUAGAUACCCCCGUAGUCCCUGUCUCUUAUACA